rnacentral:siRNA from 1 species
UUUUGGACGCCUGAUAAAUCA